CAACAACGCAGGUUCCUUUAAGGUCAGCUGCCAGGAGCCUAAGAAACAUUCUCUUCUCCAGUACUCAGAGAUGGAGUCAAACGCACUCCUCCUAUGGAUGCUGCUGCUCGGGGUUCCAGGUUCCACUGGGGACAUUGUGCUGACUCAGUCUCCAGCUUUGUUGCCUGUGUCUAUGGGACAAAAGGCCACCAUCUCUUGCAAGUCCAGUGAAAGUGUUAAUAAAUAUAACAUAGAUUUCAUGCACUGGUAUCAACAGAAACCAGGACAGCCCCCCAAGCUCCUCAUCUAUGCAGCAUCCAACCUAGAAUCUGGAGUCCCUGCCAGGUUCAGCGGCAGUGGGUCUGGGACAGACUUCACCCUCACCAUCCAUCCUGUGGAAGCUGAUGAUGUUGCAACCUAUUACUGUCAGCAGAGUAAGGAGUUUCCAUUCACUUUCGGCAGAGGGACCAAAUUGGAAAUCAAACGGUCUGAUGCUAAGCCAACUGUCUCCAUCUUCCCACCGUCCAGUGAGCAGUUACAGUCAGGAAGCGCCUCACUCGUGUGCUUCGUGAACAACUUCUACCCCAAAGACAUCAAUGUCAAGUGGAAAGUAGAUGGCAGUGAAAAACGAGAUGGCGUCCUGCAGAGCAUCACUGAUCAGGACAGCAAAGACAGCACCUACAGCCUGAGCAGCACCCUCACGUUGACCAAAGGAGAUUAUGACAGCCAUAACUUGUAUGCCUGUGAGGUCACUCAUAAGACAUCAUCUACACCCAUUGUCAAGAGCUUGAACAAGAAUGAGUGUUAGAGCCAGAGGUCCUGAGGCACCGCCACGUGCUCCCUACGACCGUCCUCUGUCUUCCCCCCGUAAGGUCUUGGAGCUUUCUCCAUAGACUACCUACCACUGUUGCAGUCCUCCAAAUCCCCACCACCUCACCCCCUCCCUUUCCUUGGCUUUUAUCAUGCUAAUAUUUGGGGAAGAUAUUGAAUAAAGUGAAUCUUUGCACUUGA